GACGAACGCUGGCGGCGUGCUUAACACAUGCAAGUCGAACGGAAAGGCCCUGCUUUUGUGGGGUGCUCGAGUGGCGAACGGGUGAGUAACACGUGAGUAACCUGCCCUUGACUUUGGGAUAACUUCAGGAAACUGGGGCUAAUACCGGAUAGGAGCCGCUGCUGCAUGGUGGGGGUUGGAUCGUUUCGGCGGGUGGGGAUGGACUCGCGGCUUAUCAGCUUGUUGGUGGGGUAGUGGCUUACCAAGGCUUUGACGGAUAGCCGGCCUGAGAGGGUGACCGGCCACAUGGGGACUGAGAUACGGCCCAGACUCCUACGGGAGGCAGCAGUGGGGAAUAUUGCACAAUGGGCGGGAGCCGGAUGCGGCGGCGCCGCGUGCGGGAUGACGGCCUUCGGGGUGUAAACCGCUUUAGCCUGUGACGAAGCGUGAGUGACGGUAAUGAGUAAAGAAGCACCGGCUAACUACGUG
rnacentral:rRNA from 1 species